CAGGAGCCUGUGAGCAUAACUUUGCUGUCAACCCUGAAGCAGGGCCAAAGAAGAUCCGAGAGAGUCCAGCAGCACAGCAGAUGCAAGGGACAGGCAUGGAUGUUGAGCUCCUGGGGACUCAGCCCUCUAUGGGGAAAGCAGAGCACCAUCUAACACCAGAGUUCUAAAGUGCAGCCAGAGCAUCGCCCGAGCCAUCCCAGGGGAUGGAGGGCCCCUGGGAAAUACUUCAAAGGCAAGUGCAGCUGCUGCCUGCUGUGGAUUCUGUGAGGCCUCUAGGAUGACAUGGCUUGAAGCAUCUUCACUGGAGCCCAGGGUUUCAGCUUUCCAGACUUUUGUCUUCAAUCUGCCAUUCCAGAAGAUGAAUUGCUGGGUCAACAGUGUGGACAUUUUUAUGACUCAAUACAUAUUGUCAAAUUGCUUUCUCAAAGGACAGUACAAUAUACAGUACCCCCAAUUUUAUUAUUCUCUUAUCA